AGCGAACGCUGGCGGCAGGCUUAACACAUGCAAGUCGAGCGGGCAUAGCAAUAUGUCAGCGGCAGACGGGUGAGUAACGCGUGGGAACGUACCUUUUGGUUCGGAACAACACAGGGAAACUUGUGCUAAUACCGGAUAAGCCCUUACGGGGAAAGAUUUAUCGCCGAAAGAUCGGCCCGCGUCUGAUUAGCUAGUUGGUGAGGUAAUGGCUCACCAAGGCGACGAUCAGUAGCGGGUCUGAGAGGACGAUCAGCCACAUUGGGACUGAGACACGGCCCAAACUCCUACGGCAGGCAGCAGUGGGGAAUAUUGGACAAUGGGCGCAAGCCUGAUCCAGCCAUGCCGCGUGAGUGAUGAAGGCCCUAGGGUUGUAAAGCUCUUUUGUGCGGGAAGAUAAUGACGGUACCGCAAGAAUUAGCCCCGGCUAACUUCGUGCCAGUCGCCGCUGUAA
rnacentral:rRNA from 1 species